rnacentral:ncRNA from 1 species
CGACGUUUUUCUUCGCUUUCUUUUUUACCUUCCCCUGAUCGGGAGGCGUUUCGUCGCAGGAAAAAGAAAGCGAAGACGAACUGUAAAGCCUCCCAAUCGGGAGGCUUUUUUAU